rnacentral:sRNA from 1 species
GCGGCUGCGGCGGCGGCGGCGCGGGCGCGGGCGCGGCGAGCACCGGAGGCUGCGCAGGCGGCGGCGGCGGCGGCGCUGGCGUGGACGGCUUGGAGUCGACGACGGCGGCGCCCUGAGCAAGCAGGAUGAGGCAGUGCGCCAUGUCCUCCUCCUCGGUGGUGGUGCUCUCGGAGGAGGAGGCCGGCGCCG